GAAAUGCGAUAAGUAGUGUGAAUUGCAGAAUUUAGCGAAUCAUCGAAUCUUUGAACGCACAUUGCGCUCCUUGGUAUUCCUUGGAGCAUGCCUGUUUGAGUAUCAUGAAAUCUUCAAAGUAAAUCUUUUGUUAACUCAAUUGGUUUCUACUUUGGUAUUGGAGGUCUUUGCAGCUUCACACCUGCUCCUCUUUGUUCAUUAGCUGGAUCUCAGUGUUAUGCUUGGUUCCACUCGGCGUGAUAAGUUAUCUAUCGCUGAGGACACUGUAAAAGGUGGCCAAGGUAAAUGCAGAUGAACCGCUUCUAAUAGUCCAUUGACUUGGACAAUACUUUUAUGAUCUGAUCUCAAAUCAGGUAGGACUACCCGCUGAACUUAAGC
rnacentral:misc_RNA from 1 species